rnacentral:rRNA from 1 species
UACGAAGGGGGCUAGCGUUGUUCGGAAUCACUGGGCGUAAAGCGCACGUAGGCUGAUUGGUCAGUUGGGGGUGAAAUCCCGUGGCUCAACCUCGGAACUGCCUUAAAUACUGCCAGUCUUGAGUACGAGAGAGGUGAGUGGAAUUCCUAGUGUAGAGGUGAAAUUCGUAGAUAUUAGGAAGAACACCAGUGGCGAAGGCGGCUUACUGGCUCGGUACUGACGCUGAGGUGCGAAAGCGUGGGGAGCAAACAGG